rnacentral:rRNA from 1 species
UCAAGUGACUAAGUGCAUGCGGCGGAUGCCUUGGCGAUCACAGGCGAAGAAAGACGCGGCAGCCUGCGAAAAGCUGCGGGGAGCUGGCAAACGAGCUUUGAUCCGCAGAUAUCUGAAUGGGGGAACCCACACCGCAAGGUGUAUCCGUAACUGAAUACAUAGGUUACGGAGGCGAACGAGGAGAACUGAAACAUCUAAGUAUCCUCAGGAAAAGAAAUCAACCGAGAUUCCGGCAGUAGCGGCGAGCGAACCCGGAGGAGCCCAGCUUUUGAUAGUACGAACUUUAGCCGAAAGGACCUGGAAAGGCCUGCUAUAGUGGGUGAUAGCCCCGUAGGCGAAAGAGUUGGUACGGUACUAAGGAAGCGAGAAGUAGAGCGGGACACGUGGAAUCCUGUUCGAAGACGGGGGGACCAUCCUCCAAGGCUAAAUACUCGUGAUCGACCGAUAGUGAACCAGUACCGUGAGGGAAAGGCGAAAAGAACCCCGGGAGGGGAGUGAAAUAGAACCUGAAACCGCAUGCAUACAAACAGUAGGAGCCUCGUCAGAGGUGACUGCGUACCUUUUGCAUAAUGGGUCAGCGACUUACAUUCUGUGGCGAGCUUAACCGAAUAGGGGAGGCGCAGCGAAAGCGAGUUCGAAAUGAGCGUCCAGUCGCAGGGUGUAGACCCGAAACCAGAUGAGCUAUCCAUGGCCAGGUUGAAGGUGUGGUAACACACACUGGAGGACCGAACCGACUAGUGUUGCAAAAUUAGCGGAUGAGCUGUGGAUAGGGGUGAAAGGCCAAACAAAUCUGGAGAUAGCUGGUUCUCCCCGAAAACUAUUGAGGUAGUGCCUCGUGUGUCGCUCCAGGGGGUAGAGCACUGUUUUGGCUAGGGGGACAUGGAGUCUUACCAAACCAAGGCAAACUCCGAAUACCUGGAAGCGUGAGCACGGGAGACAGAGCACCGGGUGCUAACGUCCGGACUCAAAAGGGAAACAACCCAGACCGCCGGCUAAGGUCCCAAAUAACAGCUAAGUGGAAAACGAAGUGGAAAGGCCGUGACAACCAGGAAGUUGGCUUAGAAGCAGCCAUCCUUCAAAGAAAGCGUAAUAGCUCACUGGUCGAGUCCUUCUGCGCGGAAGAUGUAACGGGGCUAAGCUGUUAACCGAAGCCGCGGAUGCACUGGUAAUCCAGUGCGUGGUAGGGGAGCGUUCUGUAAGUCUGCGAAGGCGGUUCGAGAGGACUGCUGGAGAUAUCAGAAGUGCGAAUGCUGACAUGAGUAACGUUAAAGCAGGUGAAAAGCCUGCUCGCCGUAAGCCCAAGGAUUCCUGCUCUACGUUCAUCGGAGCAGGGUGAGUCGGCUCCUAAGGUCAGGCCGAAAGGCGUAGCCGAUGGGAAUCAGGUUAAUAUUCCUGAACCUGCGUCAGAUGCGAUGGGGGGACGGAGCAUGGAAGAUCAUCCGGGUGUUGGAAGUCCCGGUUGUUGAGCGUAGGAGGUCUGCAGGCAAAUCCGCAGACGCAUCUCCAAGGCAAAGACACGUGCCGCCACGGCGGCGAAGUGAUCGGAAGUGCUUCCAAGAAAAGCCUCUAAGCUUCAGUCUGAUGCGGACCGUACCGCAAACCGACACUGGUGGGCGAGCUGAAUAUGCUCAGGCGCUUGAGAGAACUCGGGAGAAGGAACUCGGCAAAUUGACACCGUAACUUCGGAAGAAGGUGUGCCGUAGUACCGUGAGAGGAGAGACACCUUGAGCGGGAAACGGUCUCAGAGAAUAGGUGGCUGCGACUGUUUAUUAAAAACACAGCACUCUGCAAAGUCGAAAGACGACGUAUAGGGUGUGAUGCCUGCCCGGUGCUGGAAGAUUAAUUGAUGGGGUGAGAGCCCUUGAUCGAAGUCCCAGUAAACGGCGGCCGUAACUAUAACGGUCCUAAGGUAGCGAAAUUCCUUGUC